rnacentral:lncRNA from 1 species
GGAGUAGUGAGGGUGGACAGAGAGUUUUGCCGAGUUCCUGGGGCCUCGGGUUAGUCGCGUGGUUUUUAUGGUAAUGGAGGCCGAUGAACACAGGGUUGGCAGGGUUUGGAAAGUUGGUGGUAAGACUGCCAUAGGAAGGGAGUGGGAGUGCAUAGUACGGUACGAUGCCUGUAUGAAGGGCGUUGGGCCUUCGCUGGACUGACUGUAGAGUUCCCUUUGGAGGAAUUGUAUAUCAAGGUUGUGA